CCUACGGGAGGCAGCAGUAGGGAAUAUUGCUCAAUGGGGGAAACCCUGAAGCAGCAACGCCGCGUGGAGGAUGAAGGUUUUCGGAUUGUAAACUCCUUUUGUUAGAGAAGAUAAUGACGGUAUCUAACGAAUAAGCACCGGCUAACUCCGUGCCAGCAGCCGCGGUAAUACGGAGGGUGCAGCCGUUACUCGGAAUCACUGGGCGUAAAGGGCGCGUAGGCGGGAUAGCAAGUCAGAUGUGAAAGCCUAUGGCUUAACCAUAGAACUGCAUUUGAAACUGGUAUUCUAGAGUAUGGGAGAGGUAGGUGGAAUGCUGGGUGUAGGGGUAAAAUCCGUAGAGAUCAAGAGGAAUACUCAUUGCGAAGGCGACCUGCUAGAACAUAACUGACGCUGAUGCGCGAAAGCGUGGGGAGCAAACAGGAUUAGAUACCCCUGUAGUC
rnacentral:rRNA from 1 species